UACGGAGGAUCCAAGCGUUAUCCGGAAUUACUGGGCGUAAAGAGUUGCGUAGGUGGCAAAGUGUGUCGGUAGUGAAAGCGUGGGGCUCAACCCCAUAUACAUUAUCGAAACUGCUUAGCUAGAGGACGAGAGAGGUUAUUGGAAUUCCCAGUGUAGGAGUGAAAUCCGUAGAUAUUGGGAGGAACACCGAUGGCGUAGGCAGAUAACUGGCUCGUUCCUGACACUAAGGCACGAAAGCGUGGGUAGCAAACGGG
rnacentral:rRNA from 1 species